GGAAAUGUGGCUUAGUGGUAGAGUGCUUGCCUAGCAUGCAAGAAGCCCUGAUCUCAAUUCCU
rnacentral:tRNA from 1 species